UACGUAGGGCGCAAGCGUUGUCCGGAAUUAUUGGGCGUAAAGAGAGUGUAGGCGGCCCGAUUAGUCCGCUGUGAAAGUCCAGGGCUCAACCCUGGAAUGCCGGUGGAUACUGUCGGGCUAGAGUCCGGAAGGGGCGAGUGGAAUUCCUGGUGUAGCGGUGAAAUGCGCAGAUAUCAGGAGGAACACCAAUGGCGAAGGCAGCUCGCUGGGACGUGACUGACGCUGAGACGCGAAAGCGUGGGGAGCAAACAGG
rnacentral:rRNA from 1 species